rnacentral:rRNA from 1 species
GACUGAACAUGCUUAGCCCGACAAGGUUACUUGUUGUGUGCUGAGUCGUGUUGGUCAUCCUUCUAGAGAAUGUUGUUGCGCUUCACUGUGUUGACAACACUAUCUAGAUCUUUUACUUUGAAAAAAUUAGAGUGUUUAAAGCAGGCUUUUGCUAUGAAUACAUUAGCAUGGAAUAAUAAUUUAGGACUUCGGUUCUAUUUUGUUGGUUUCUAGGACUGAAGUA